CCUACGGUGGCAGCAGUGAGGAAUUUUGCGCAAUGGGGGUAACCCUGACGCAGCAACGCCGCGUGAGUGAAGAAGGCCUUCGGGUCGUAAAGCUCUGUCAAGUGGGAAGAACCCGCAUCAGGUCAACAGGCUGAUGCGCUGACGGUACCACUGAAGGAAGCACCGGCUAACUCCGUGCCAGCAGCCGCGGUAAUACGGAGGGUGCAAGCGUUAUUCGGAAUCACUGGGCGUAAAGGGCGCGCAGGCGGCUGGGCAAGUCAGUAGUGAAAGCCCGGGGCUCAACCCCGGAAGUGCUGCUGAAACUGUCUGGCUUGAGUAUGGUAGAGGGAAGCGGAAUUCCUGGUGUAGCGGUGAAAUGCGUAGAUAUCAGGAGGAACACCGGUGGCGAAGGCGGCUUCCUGGACCAAUACUGACGCUGAGGCGCGAAGGCGUGGGUAGCAAACAGGAUUAGAUACCCUCGUAGUC
rnacentral:rRNA from 1 species